GCGGCGGCACUGCCGGAAGCAGCCUGCGGCUCGCUGAAGCCCGCUUGGCCCGGCUCCGCAGCCCGGUUCCGGAGCGCGCCGCUCCCGAGUUCCCGCACAGAUGAUCAGCGCCACCUGUGUCCUGCGAACCCACUAAGCAUCCCAGCUCCAGUUGGACUCCAGGAAGAGCCUCCCCGCCUUUCCCAGGUCUUAAGAAGCCCUGGUGAAGUGGCUUGACCUGGAUUUCUCCCUCCCUCAUUAGAAGCAGCCACCCGCCAACAUGCCAAGGAACCAGGGCUUAUCGGAUCCCGAGUACUCGGUCAGCCUGCCCUCUGACCCCGACCGCGGGGUCGGCCGGACCCAUGAAAUUUCUGUGCAGAACUCGGGGUCCUGCCUGUGCCUGCCUCGCUUUAUGCGGCUGACCUUCGUGCCUGAGUCCUUGAAGAACCUCUACCAGACCUACUUCAAAAGGCAGCGCCAUGAGACACUGCUGGUGCUGGUGGUCUUUGCGGCCCUCUUUGACUGCUACGUGGUAGUGAUGUGCGCGGUGGUCUUCUCCAGCGACAAGCUGGCCCUCCUCGUGGUGACAGGCAUCGGUCUGGUCUUGGACAUCAUCCUUUUCGUGCUCUGCAAAAAGGGGCUGCUCCCGGACUGAGUGAGCCACAAAGUGGUACCCUACCUGCUCUGGCUGCUCAUCACACCACAGAUUUUCUCCUACCUGGGCCUGAACUUUUCACGUGCCCACGCAGCCAGUGACACUGUGGGUUGGCAGGCCUUCUUUGUCUUCCCCUUCUUUAUAACGCUGCCCCUCAGCCUCCGCCCCUUCGUCAUCAUCUCUGUGGUCUCAUGUGUUGUGCACACGCUUGUCUUGGGGGUCACUGUGGCCCAACAGCAGCAGGAUGAGCUGGAAGGGAUGCAGCUGCCGAGGGAGCUUGUGUCUCUGCUUGUGGACAGUUUUUUGGGAGGAGGAUGUCCAUAGCCAUUGCUAUUGGAGAUUGGUUAGGACAGGAUCCCUGGCCUUGAGUGCAUCUCGCCAGUGUGGUGUUCAUUGAGGAGCAAAUCAGAAACAAAUCAAAGAACAGAGCACAGAAACCCUCCCCACUUCUGACCACACCUGGAUGGACCUAUUUGUUAAGAGACUUUGGGGUACAAAAAGCAUCUUCUAAUGAAACUGAGCAGUCCUUCCCUAAGUCUGGGCCUGACCAGAGUGCUGAGAUGGGGGAGAGUGGGGCCUUGUCAUGGUAGAGACUCUAGGUUUAGUUGGGAGCAGACUUGAGUGACUGUAGAUAGUGUGUCCCCAGAGGGUCAGCAAACCAGUGACCAGAUUACAGGGGGAGCUGUCUCCUGGUUGUGGUCCAGGAAGGUUUGCCUGCAGGUUAUUUGGUUGAUGGAGGGACCUGAUUCUUGCUUCAGCUCCAUGUGGUGGAAGCUAAGGCUGGUGUGGUAUCAGCCUAAAGAGGUGACCGGCUAGGGGCCAGGAUAACAAGGAAUACCUGAAGUUCACUCAGACAGAAGCCACGGCUAGCCUGUGGAAACUGGCCAGCACUGAGCCGUGUCUGGUGUAUUCUACUCUUUUGCCAGAUUCUCUACUUAUGCCUUCUCUGCAAGGGCCUGGGAGAGCAUCUGUCUAACUUAGAGCCCCCAGGUCAUAGGGAAGGAAUUACAGAUAAGCAGCUGCUGAUCACUGGCAGCAAAAGUGAGGCCAGGUGUGCUGACUCACUGACCAGGGCCCCCACAUGGCGGUGGGAAUCUGUCUCCUUAGCCUGAGAGCAGGAUCCUGGCUUCCCUUUCUUGUCUACUGGGGGAAAGUGCUCUGACUGUGGUCAUCACUCACAUCUCAGCAGAAGGCACAGCUUGUAGAGUCUCUGGGUUUCUAUUCAUCAGUAGAGGAAAACACUAUCAUCUCAUUUGAGGCCCCUGGCUCUGAGGUUUGUGUUGAUAUUUCAGGCACAUGGCACUCUGGGCCUCCUUUUCUCCACUCAGCAAGAAACUUAACUUGGAAGCUGCCCUAGGAAAAGGAUCCAGAUAAGAUAUAGUCCCUACAGAUCAGUUUUGAACUCAAGAUUACUGGUCUUUAAAAAGACCAGGACUAUAAAGAUAUAAGAUUCCUAAUUGGAAAUAGGAAAAAAGGUAAAAGUAGUAACUCAAGAAUAAAAAUAUUUCAGUGGUAGAGUGCUGGCCUAGCAUGCGCUGGCCUCUCUUGAAUUGAAUCCCCAGCCCUGUAAUGAAAAUAAUAUAUACAUACAUGUUUAUAAAAUAAAAAUGUGUAAUAAGAGUUUGGCAUCCCAGGGGAACAUGAUCUUGAUAUGAAA